rnacentral:lncRNA from 1 species
UUUAUUAUUAUUAUUGAAUUUAUACUAAACUAGAACUAUUCGCAAAAUAAAUUAAUUAUUUUAGGUUUCAAACAACUUCAUAGCAAAAGAAAUACAUUUACAUAAAUUAAAAAUUCAUGUAAAAUCUCAAACUUUUUACCUUCAAACAUUAACCUCGCCAUCAUAAAUUUAUAAAUUUCAGUCCCUUUUUGAAAUUUGUUUUAAAUAAAUUUAGAUCAUAAAACAAAAUAAACUUUUUUGAAUGAAAUAAGUAAAUUUGUUUUGUAGAAACAUAGUUAAUUCAAUCCAAUUGAAUCUAUAAAAGCAAAAAGGAGUUAUUAAUUCAGAAACGAAAGGGGAGCAUGCAAAAUACGAGAAUUGACUUUUAGUCGUUCGUUAAAUGUGUUUUAAUCGUUCGUUAAAUCAUAUCAAGCUGCCUACACUCCCAAUUUUGAGAAUGUUCCUUUUAAACUUUUUCCCCAGUUCAUUCCGUUUCUCAGUCUGAAGUUCCAGCCAAUCACAUUACUCCGACUUACGUUCAAUGUUUACAAUUGAGCGUCAUGGAAAGAAUGACGCAUAUUAUGGGGAGAAAUAUUUUACCGAACUGAAUGCAUGACAAGACUCUUAUUUGGGUUACAUGGAGAAGAAAACCACGCAAACAUGUCACGGAUAGUCUGGCGUCAUGAUCCGUCUACCACAAAGGAUAUUUUACGUCAGCACUGUGGUCAGUGCAAACUUUCUAUUCCUUGAGCCAUUGCGACAUUUCUGGAAAUAAUGAAGCUGAUCACUUCACAAAUACUGCUGUUAAUUUCCUCCACUUGUUUUUACUCUCCCCUACAGCCAAAUCUUCUCCACCAUUGUAAGAAUGAUAGACUAAAAUAUAAAGAAUCUGCCUGAUGUGGAUGCUGCAGGAAAGAUUUGGUUAGGCCUCCUCUGCAAUGCUUUGCCAAUGUACCUCCUCCAGCAAGUUUUUUAACUGUGUUAAGUAGUGAAAAUUGAAAAAGAGUGUGAUUCGGUUUUUUCGAAACUUGAAAUAUGUUUUAAUUUAAAAGUUCUGUGCGAAACAUGUGAACUUUUUUUAUAAAUACCUACAUUACACAAGUCUUACCAGCUCUUCCUUGAGCCAUUAAAAUGAACUUAAAGUCGUUUCACUCUGUAUAGCAAAUUUAUCUGUAUAUUAUUACCUUUUACUAUGAUGUUUUAUUAUUUUCUCAUAAUAAUGCUAAUUUUAUUUAACUUUAAACUAUAAUUUUGUAAAUUUGGUUUAGGUUAUUCUUACUGGUUAAUUUCCCAUUGUAUUAAGUAUGAUUUUCCAUUAUAAUUUUACUGCUGUUGUUGUGUUUUCUUUGUUUACUUGCUCUUUUUAAUUACUGACCUUUAAUUAUGAUAUUACUAUCUAUAUAUACAUAACCCAUGCUAAGGAUUUAAAAUUAUUAGCCAGUUUUUAAAAUUCUAAGCCAAAGGCAAAUCGUAACAAUUUUUUAUGAUUGAUUUUUUCAGUAGGAAAAUGCAUAUUUAUUAUAAAUUGAAUUAUUUUAUAAAAAUGCAACUACAAAUUAAGAAUCAUUUUGCAGUUGGGGAGGAGUAAAUGAACAAUGAAUGGAUAAACUUUUCUUUUUGUUCGAAAACAGCAUUCGCCAAUACUUUCCCCAAAAUAACAUUUUUGUUUUGCCAAAUUUCAAGUUUAAUAUAUAUGGUAAGAUGACAAAUGCUUAGCACAAGCUUUGCAUAGAUAAAAAUCAAAUAAAUGGUAUAUCAUUUGUGUGUAUAAGGAUUUAAAGCUUAUGGUAUACUUUAAGAUUGUUCUGUCAUUUUUUUCUUUCUUAAAUAUUGAAACUUUUUACUCUUAAAAUGCUAUGUCAAACACAAUGAGGGGGGGGGGUCUUGAAAUGACAAUAAAUUGACUAUAUUUUAGUCAGGUUUUUGGCUAUCAAUAAAGUAACAUCCAACUAAUCCCCAUUCCAUUUUCAUAAAAUCUGAAGAAUCCAUUUGUACUUUUAUAAUGUUGCUCCAAAACAUUAUUUUGUGUAGUAUUGUAGAUUCCAAUAUUAUUCACAAUAAUUUUCUAACAUUUUAAUUUAUUGUUUAAAAAAAAUUUAAUUAACUAUAAAGAAGCUUAAAAAAAGUUGAUUUGUUUUUAUAAACAUAAUGCUAUAGCUUUUGAUAAAGUGUUAAUUGA